GAUGAACGCUGGCGGCGUGCCUAAUACAUGCAAGUCGAGCGAAUGGAUUAAGAGCUUGCUCUUAUGAAGUUAGCGGCGGACGGGUGAGUAACACGUGGGUAACCUGCCCAUAAGACUGGGAUAACUCCGGGAAACCGGGGCUAAUACCGGAUAACAUUUUGAACCGCAUGGUUCGAAAUUGAAAGGCGGCUUCGGCUGUCACUUAUGGAUGGACCCGCGUCGCAUUAGCUAGUUGGUGAGGUAACGGCUCGCCAAGGCAACGAUGCGUAGCCGCCCUGAGAGGGUGAUCGGCCACACUGGGACUGAGACACGGCCCAGACUCCUACGGGAGGCAGCAGUAGGGAAUCUUCCGCAAUGGACGAAAGUCUGACGGAGCAACGCCGCGUGAGUGAUGAAGGCUUUCGGGUCGUAAAACUCUGUUGUUAGGGAAGAACAAGUGCUAGUUGAAUAAGCUGGCACCCUGACGGUACCUAACCAGAAAGCCACGGCUAACUACGUGCCAGCCGCCGCCGUAA
rnacentral:rRNA from 1 species